rnacentral:sRNA from 1 species
AAGGACUACGGACACUGUGGGCGCUUGUUUGCUGUGAUAUAUUUACACAGUGACACAUACGUCACUUCGGUAGCAGAUGUUGACACUAAGUCACGAACGGUACUUAUUUAAAACGUCAAUCAUCUACGAGCAGUAGUACUGAGUACUUCAAGCAAAAGUUGACAGUACACCGAAUGUGUCCUAUGUCAUUGCUUCACUGUCAGAAGAGAAGCCAGCUAGUCCACAACUAGAUCUAGUGACAUCAUGACGGUGAUAUAUCUCUAUGCAACUCUACUGACUGUAUUUAUAACACAGGCUUUCAGUCUGGUGCCGCCCACAUUGGACACAGUGUUUACAGUAGAUGGUCAAGGCAUUGGCCAAGUGGCCGGUGUUGACGUUGAUUCAGCCGGAGACCUUUUUGUCUUUCACAGAGCCAACCGGCCAUGGAGUUCGACGUAAGAGAUUGAUCACUUUA